AUGCAGGUGUUUAACGGUAACCUCUGCACCGCAUCCUAUGUCCGACAGGCAAACGUGCCAUGGAGACAACAAAGUCUCCUGAUGCUACAAGCUCGACACCGACGACGUGGGGGCGUGGUGAAUGUGCAAACCUCGGGCCCAGCACAGGCGCAAGAUCGUCCAAGAAACCAAAAGAUAGACCCACAACUAGCACCAGUGGACGUACAAGGUGGAAGUCGACACAUGGCUCACCAUGACCCAAGCGAGCUUGCACUCAUGAUCGACACCAUCAGAGCAGGGAUGAGCUCCAUGGGUGGAGGCGAGAUAACCGUUUCGCCCUACGACACCGCCUUCGUCGCCCUUGUCGGGGAUCUAGAUGGAGGUGAUGGACCUCAGUUCCCCUCCAGCAUUGACUGGAUCGUUCAAAACCAGCUGCCCGAUGGUUCGUGGGGUGAGAGCUCGUUUUUCCUGAUCCAAGACCGGAUUAUGAACACCCUAGCAUGUGUUGUGGCCUUGACGUCAUGGAACCUUCACGUUGACAAGUGCGAGAAAGGCUUGAAGUUUAUCAGAGAAAAUAUGUGGAGGUUGGCCGAACAAGAAGAAGACUGGACGCUAAUAGGCUUCGAGAUUAGCUUCCCCUCGCUCCUAUGCAUGGCCAGGGACCUGGGUCUUGACAUUCCUUAUGAUCACCCUGCCUUGGACGCAAUAUAUUCCCAGAGAAACCAAAAGCUCAGCAAGAUUCCUUUGGAUAUACUGCACAGUAUACCAACGACUCUACUUCACAGUGUCGAGGGAAUGGUGGACUUGGACUGGCAAAGGCUGCUUAAGUUGAAGUGUUCAGAUGGUUCCUUCAGAACAUCACCUGCAGCAACAGCUCGUGCUUUGAAGGAAACAGGCGACCUAAAAUGCCUCAAAUACAUAGAUGAAAUCGUCAAAAAGUUUGAUGGGGGAGCGCCCUGUGUCUAUCCUGUGGAUUUGUACGAGCGUUUAUGGGCCGUUGAUCGGUUGACGCGUCUGGGCAUAUCGAGGCACUUCACAAGUGAAAUCAAGGAGUGCUUAGAUUUUACUUACAGGCAUUGGACUCAGGUUGAAGACGAUGGACUGAGCCACGCAGGGUCGUGCUCAGCAGCGGAUAUCGAUGAUACCGCGAUGGGUUUCCGUCUCCUCCGUUUAAACGGCUACCACGUCAAUCCAUGCGCACUGAAGAAAUUUGAAAAGGACGGCGAAUUCUUCUGCUUCCCUAGGCAGUCGAGCCAAUCUGUCACGGCCAUUUACAACACAUACCGCGCCACCCAGGUCGCUUUUCCCGGCGAGAAGGACGACGUCCUUCGGCGGGCCGAGCAGUUUGGCCGCGCAUUCCUCCAAGAGAGGCGAGCCUCCAACAAACUCAACGACAAGUGGGUCAUCCCCAAGGAUUUGCCAGGCGAGGUAGAAUACGCACUGGACUUCCCCUGGAAAGCAAGCUUGCCACGAGUCGAAACAAGGUUCUAUCUGGAGCAAUAUGGGGGCGGCGAUGACGUGUGGAUUGGGAAGGUCCUCUAUAGAAUGCCUCUCGUCAACAAUGACCUGUACCUAGAGGCGGCGAAAGCUGAUUUCACCAACUUCCAGAGAAUGUGCCGACUUGAGUGGCAUGGCCUGAAAAGGUGGUAUGAGAGGAAUAAUCUGGAAAUGUAUGGUGUGUCCGCAAAUAGCGCACUCAGAGCUUACUUCUUAGCGGCAGCAAACAUCUUUGAGCCGACCCGAGCAGCAGAGCGCCUGGCAUGGGCUCGCACGGCGAUGCUCGCUGAGGCUGUCUCCUCCUACUUCCAACGCAACGGUUGCGCUCCCGAGUUGAGGGAACGGCUCAGUGCUAUCCUCACUCCCGGCCACAGCCACAAUCUAGCAAGGGGGGCAAUGGAUUCAGUAGAAAAUAGCAUACCACAUGUUGUUAAUGAGCUGAUCAUGGACCUCAGCAAAUUUGACAAUGCCGCCGACACUCUUCGCGAAGCUUGGAAGGACUGGUUCACGACAUGGACUGCAAAGGAGAGCAGUGGACCAUGUGAAUGGAGUACAGCGUUGCUGUUAGUUCGCACAGUCGAGGUCUGCUCAGGAAGGCAUGGCUCGACCCAACAGCAACUGAACAUUUCGGAGUAUACCCAGCUCGAGGGGCUCACCUCUUCCAUAUGCCGCAAACUUUCAUCUAGGGUUCUUUCACAGGGUGGACAAAAAAUGGAAAACAUAGAGGAUAUAGACCGACAAGUGGAUUUGGAUAUGCGAGAACUCACUCAACAUGUUCUUCAGAGCUGCAACGGUGUCAGCGGACUGACCAGGCAGACUUUUAUGCACGUGGUGAAGAGCUUCAACUACGUCACCCUUUGCCCACAUGACACAAUUGAUUGCCAUAUCUCCAAGGUCUUAUUCGAAGAUGUCAUUUAG
rnacentral:rRNA from 1 species